rnacentral:rRNA from 1 species
AUUGAACGCUGGCGGCAGGCCUAACACAUGCAAGUCGAGCGGAGCGGCGGACGGGUGAGUAAUGCCUAGGAAUCUGCCUGGUAGUGGGGGAUAACGUCCGGAAACGGGCGCUAAUACCGCAUACUAUCAGAUGAGCCUAGGUCGGGUUAGCUAGUUGGUGGGGUAAAGGCAUACCAAGGCGACGAUCCGUAACUGGUCUGAGAGGAUGAUCAGUCAAACUGGAACGUGGACACGGUCCAGAAUCCUCCGGGAGGCAUCAGUGGGGAAUAUUGGACAAGGGGGGGAAGCCUGAACCAUCCAUGGCGCGUGUGUGAAGAAGGUCUUCGGAUUGUAAAGCACUUUAAGUUGGGAGGCGUUACCAACAGAAUAAGCACCGGCUAACUUCGUGCCAGCAGCCGCGGUAAUAC